rnacentral:rRNA from 1 species
CCUACGGGGGGCAGCAGUGGGGGAUAUUGCACAAUGGGGGAAACCCUGAUGCAGCGACGCCGCGUGGGGGAAGACGGUCCUCUGGAUUGUAAACCACUGUCCCCAGGGACGAAGAUGACGGUACCUGGGGAGGAAGCUCCGGCUAACUACGUGCCAGCAGCCGCGGUAAUACGUAGGGAGCGAGCGUUGUCCGGAAUUACUGGGUGAAAAGGGAGCGUAGGCGGGACUGCAAGUUGGGUGUCAAAUCUACCGGCUCAACCGGUAGCCGCACUCAAAACUGCAGUUCUUGAGUGAAGUAGAGGCAGGCGGAAUUCCUAGUGUAGCGGUGAAAUGCGUAGAUAUUAGGAGGAACACCAGUGGCGAAGGCGGCCUGCUGGGCUUUUACUGACGCUGAGGCUCGAAAGUGUGGGGAGCAAACAGGAUUAGAUACCCCGGUAGUC